UUCCGAGGAGAAGGGCAGGCACGGGCAUCGUGGAAGAAUUAGCGUCAUCAGGUGGGUGAAUCAGUCAGUAUCACUGGGCUUAAGGAAAAUAACUGUGGAGUCAUACUUGCUUAAAAGAGAUAUACUUAGUCGAAAGGUAACAUUGCUUAAACAGAAAAAUCCAUGAAGAAGUAAUAAUAUCAGAUUUUCUUCUUAGAAACCAUGAAAUUAGAAAUGACUACAUUAAUACUGGUGGCGGGGGGACACACAUCACAAAAUCUGAUACAGUUCAUUGAAAGGUAAUUCCAAAAGCUGAAAGCAUUAUAAAAUAUAAUUACUAAAGCAUUAUAAAAUGGUAUUAUUAUGUGAAGCACAAAGAUAUAUUUGCAUGAAAUUUUGCAAAAAACUUCAAGUCUGAGGUUUUUGCUCAUGUUUGAAUUUGUAUCCUUGAAGUCAAUGUUGUGAAAAACAGCAGGAGUUCUGCA
rnacentral:lncRNA from 1 species